CCCUUAGAUGUCCUGGGCCGCACGCGCGUUACACUGAUGCAUUCAACGAGCUUAUAACCUUGGCCGAGAGGCCUGGGCAAUCUUGUUAACGUGCAUCGUGAUAGGGAUAGAUUAUUGAAAUUAUUAAUCUUGAACGAGGAAUUCAUAGUAAACGCAGAUCAUCAAUCUGCAUUGAUUACGUCCCUGCCCUUUGUACACACCGCCCGUCGCACCUACCGAUUGGAUGGUCCGGUGAAGCCUCGGGAUUGUGGUUCUUGCCGCUUUAUUGUGGCGUGACCGCGAGAACUUGUCUAAACCUUAUCAUCUAGAGGAAGGUGAAGUCGUAACA
rnacentral:rRNA from 1 species